CUUGCAUAUCUGGGCUCAGUCUCUGUACUCUCACUGCAAGCCUGAGAGGAAUGCAUUGAGAGGAUGGCAUGAGGAAGCACUUUUUCCUAUGUGAGGUCUUGAGUUACUGCUGAAAGCAUCCUGAGUGACACAAACUUGAAGCAUGCAAGAGGACUAAAUAACUUCCAAAGUCACACAUAUUGCAUGUCAAGAGCCAGCUUCAAACUCAAGUCCCUGUGACCAGAGGUCGAUGCUCUAAACACAUUUCUGCAUGACCUGCUUGUGGCAGCCUGGAGAAAUUCUACAUAAAUCUUCUCAGAAUUCUCACCUGUAAGCUUGAAUUAUGUCUACAUCAUGCUUGGGAAAUGUCCAUAUAUUCUAAGCUUGAAACUGCAGUGAUGAGGACGUCACCACUUCCAGAGAGAACACUUUACUACCAGGCAACUUGAGUACAAUAGGCAGCCACAAAUAUCAUCCUUGCUAGCCAGGAAUGACAAGGAGCAAGCCACAUGAGGAGUCAGAAAAGAUUAUUCCAGGCAGGGCUGAGAUCUGCAUUAUGGUCUGGAGGCUGCCCCAGUCUCUCCUUUACCUCCAUAUUUUUCUCACAGGACUUUUCUUCAUCAUGUGAAGAAGCCAACACAGACAUCAACUCUUGCAGAAAUAUUUACAUUCCAGGAUGGGUGGAAUAUUCAUCCUCUAAGACACUCUCCUUACUGCUCAUUUCACUUCUGGGUACAGUAAAUAUCAUUAUUUUUUGGUUUUUUAAUAUAUCUGUCUCAUAAUAUUGUUCAUUCUUAAAGGAUAACAACCAUAUCUUGUCCAUCUUCAUAACCUUGAAGAAUAUUAUAGUACUUUGUUAAUAGAUAACAUUCAAUAAAUAUUUGUGGAAGAAAUUUAAUGAUUGGAUAAUUAUAGUCAAAUAUAUUGAGAAGAAACAGGGUAAAGAUAUUGAUUAA
rnacentral:lncRNA from 1 species